rnacentral:lncRNA from 1 species
GUGUUAUCCGAGAGAAGGUGAUGAGGAGAAGGUGUGACUGAGGGCAGGCUGUGGAUCUGAACUGCACUGUGGCUCUGUCCAGCAAAGAAAAUUACAGUUUCACUUGCUUUUGGAAUAUUUAAACUUACACCAACUGCAUGAGAAUAUGUUAGGAAACAGUGCCUGGAACUAGGAUUUUCAAUGGAGCUGGGCAGAGCUGAGACAUUAUCAACAUAUCUCUGUUAAGGCAGAACAAAGAGCAAAUACAUGGACUGGACAAAAAGCUCAGAAAAGCUCAGAAGGCUACAGUUUAAAAGGCAGGAAGAGUAGGAGUGUCAUUAAAAAUCCUCAGUGGGGCUGGCUUGAAUACUCCUCAGGAGGAAGAAGAGACCAGGCUGAGGAGUCUGCAAAAAAGGUUCCAUUGUGAGGUGGGAUGGAGAUAGUGCAGAAGGAAUGUAAAGCUUGAAGGACACAGGUUUACAGACCACUGACUUCCAGGGAAAAGGAAGGACAUUCACUCGCCAAGAGUAUUUUGGGAAGAUAUAGAGCCAGUACAGGCACAGCUGUAACAGUCAUUUAACAAGUCCCACAAAUGCAGGGACCUGCCAGAAGCUGUGUAUGGAGCUAAGAAAUGUAACUGGGAGGACAGAGAGAGAAAAAAUAUGCGUGUAAGACAAGCCCUGUGUGUUCCAAGAACCUUUUUUUUUGGCUAUCAGUUCUGAUACCUGUGACCCAACAGCUGCCAUAGAAUGUUGAUUUGACCGAUGUUUACAUCCAUAGGUUAAUGUUUUAGCUGUAUUUCACAUCAAAAUGCUUUACAUUCAUUUAUGUGAAUACUCUAAUAAACUAAUUUAAG